UUCUAGACUUAGUUUGGGAAUUGCAUGUAGCAAAUCAUUUCCCCUCUGUCUGGAAACCGGUAAAUGCGUUCCGUUUGUCAAAGCGUGUUAGCGAAGCGCCUGCAGCAAAUUCAUUACCACCCAACUGCGAGGCUCACUUCGCAACCUGGUCAGGCAAGAGGAGGGAGUUGUCCACGCCAAACCGCGAACAAUGCUGCCUUAGUUCGUGCGUGCAACAAAAGAACCGAGGGAACUUGUUUGAAUUUCAGAGCACGUCCUCUGCUCACACAGAAGGAUGGACUUUACCCCCCCAAACCCACAACCCCUCCUCAUCAUCAUCAUCAUCACCCCCUCCCUCCUCAUCCGAACCCACCAUCAACAGGGGGAGAAAAAAAACUUGCACACUCUGAGAAGCUCAACUGUGCAUGCACUUUUUUUUUUAUUUGGUGCUUGUAGACGUUAUGGGAAAGUUGUGUCUCUCCCUCUCCCCAUCCCUCCCUCUUUCUCCUUCUCUUCGUCUGUCAUGUGCGUGGGAUGCUCAUGCUUUGCACAGAGCAGCUGUAGCACGCCGAAUACAGGCUAGAGUGUUAGCGGCAAUUUUAAAGUCCCCCCCUCCCUUCCCUUCCGCUCCCCCACCCACCAAAUAAUACGGCUGGGAUAUUUGAAGGGAACAUACACCAUAUCACGGUACACUCGGACCCCGUUGUUCUUCACCGGGUUGGGACGGCUUCUGGUCUGAUUGUGACUCGCCAUUAGGAAGUUUGAUGGACCAGAAGUCCAUCAUGAUCCACAAACAUCUGGAAUAAUGACCGGAGUCUCGGACUAAGGACAUGGAAUACAUUCUGCUGAUCUCAGAGGUAAAUAAGUUAUCCUGAUUAAGAAGAACGGAGCCAAACUUUCAGCAAUACAGAGUCUUACAACAGCCUGAAAAUAGUACUUACUGUGCCUUUGUUCUGAUGGGUAUCAUAUUUUCUUUUCUUUUUUUUAAUGGAAAAACACUUCUUAAAAUAAGAUGAAAAUAUUCUACACAUUAAAACAUGUAUUUAUUUCAUGUCAGUGAUUGAAUUUAACAAGUAUAUUUUCUGACAGCUAAAUAAAGACUUUUUCCCCCAUAA
ensembl:lncRNA